GGGAGAUGAAGAGGUUGUGCUAUCUUCAGUCUGCUUUUCAGAUCUUCCCAUCGUCUCUGAUCUACAGUCAGUAAAGCUGUCCCCUUGUUUUCAUUGAAAUUUGCAAUGACAACUCCAACGAAAAGAGUCAGUCCAAUCAUGCAGCCAAGGAAUACAAACACAUGAAUAUAGAUUCCAUGGAUCGGCCCAACACGAUGAAUAAUAACAUCUCUGACUUCCAC
rnacentral:lncRNA from 1 species